rnacentral:ncRNA from 2 species
GCCAGUUGCGUCUCGACAGGUUCGCGCCGCCAUCAGGCGGCGCGACGAAGAGGGAAGCCGGUGCGAAUCCGGCGCAGGGCCGCUGCUGUGUUCGGCCAGGGUUCUCGGGCACUCGCCACUGUGACCAUAGGUCACGGGAAGGCGCCCGCAACCCGUUACGAGCCGUGAGCCAGAAGACCUGCCUGUCGUUCAUUGUUCGG